UUGAAUGAAUGAUCAAAGAAAGUGGUUUCUUGAGAUAGAAGCUACUCCUGGUGAAGAUGCUGUGAA
rnacentral:pre_miRNA from 1 species